CAGUAAGGUCACUGUUCCUCCGCGCUGUGUUAAUCGCUGCAUUCCUGCCUCUGCUGUGUCUUAUCAAGCCAAACACAGCACUGACCACAGUUCUGCCUCCAGCAGCGUUCUUAAAUCUUUCCUUUGGCAGCAGAAAUCCUUUUGCGCAGGUUGUAAAGUGAGCCGUUAAAUGAAGCGUCUUACGUAAUAUGCCACAUGUAACUGGAGACACAGACUCUCUGCAGAGACCAUGCAUGUGUUUGCAUUGGCUGUCGGCUUCAGUUGUUCCAGGCUCUGAUCAAGCAGGUCAGCGGCCUCAAUAGUGUUGGCCAGGGGGUUGACUCACCCGUAACUCCUCCACUGGAAUGUCAGUGAUAGAAAAAUAUGUCUUCUGGCUCAGAUUCUGCGUGGAACUAAAGGACACACGGGGGCUUGGGGAGAUACAAUGAAAGCAUAAAAUGUUUAUUAUAUUAUAAAAA